rnacentral:lncRNA from 1 species
UUAUUAUAGGUAGGAUCCGGCAAGAGAACCAGUUAAGGUGGUAGGCCUUGGUCAGUAGUAGUUAGUUUACAGAGCAGAGGUAAGUAUCUGACUUAGUUGACAGAGCCAGAGCAGAGCCAGUAGUUUAUGAGUGUAAUACCCAACCAGUAGAGUCGUCGGAGUAGUCCAGAGUACAGAGCCAUAAGACAAGCAAGCCGGAUCAGGUAUUUAAUGAAACAACAAACUCAGGUAGACAAAGGCAGUAGACAAAGGAAGACAAGCCCAUCCCCUAUACGCUCUGAACCUAACCAAACUAGUAACUUCAUUCAACCAGAAAAGAAAGCAUGAGACUCCGGAUAGGAAUACAUCCAACAAAGAAGUAUAGCAAUGAAACUCACUAGUAAGAAUGCAAGUGAGCCAGAGGAGAGUUAGAAGAGCCAUAGGGAGAUGAGCCAGAGGGAAAAGAUCCUGUUCGAGUGUAAGUUGCAUCCCCAGUAGCAUCUGUCUUUGUAGCGAGAGGUGAGCUAGUCAGAUAGAGUUAGUUCGGGUCGGGUAGUCGAGAGUACCAUCUUGUUAUGGUAGUACUGGAUAAGUAGACGAAGCUAUCUAAAAUCACGGGAAAACGGAAAAGUUGAUGACUUGAGGACCUCGCCAGGAAGGAAAACUCGUUUGCUACCUUUUUUCACGGGAAAACGCCAAGAUCUCAUUCCAAAUAGGCCAUCUAUUAGGGGAAAUCCGAUUGCUAUCAAAAAAGACGGGAAAACGUCAAAAGAGAAUUCCAAUUGCCGCAUCACAUUUGUAGUUACUUGCCUCAUAGCAAUUAGUACUUUGCCAGUACAACCGGGAUGGGAUUAAGCUCUCACUCUUAUCCUUCUCUAGCUCCUUCUGAUUGAGUUUCUUUCCUUGCCUACCCCCUAACAAGCAAGUCUGUUUACCACCCUAACAAGCUAGUCAGUCAACAACACUACCCGAGUCACAGGCAAUUCUCCAGUGGUCACUACCCACACAAGCAAGUCAGUUUACCACCCGAACAAGAAAGUAAGUGAAACACAAGCCUACCCAACAGAUAAAACAAGGGAAUACCUACCCACACCCGGCACAAGCAAGUAAUUUAACAAGCCAAGCAGCUCUACUCCCUUCCCGCAACAAAGCCUUUACUUGACUUUCUUCUUCUGAAGCACUACUUGGCCUACCUCUGUUUAAGAAUUCCAGUUAGCCGGCAACUCAUAAGUAACAAAAUGAAAAAAGUACUAAUAAUAAUUCCACUCAAGCGGAGGCAGCGAGUUACUUACCCGGGAAACUGUUCCUGCCGCCAUGAGCAAAGCACUUGUGGAGACUUUCCUUAUAGAGAAGUAACGCCGAACCCACUAGACAAGCAGCCUGAAUAAGUAAGGGCAAGUCCUAAAACACAACUGGGCCAACAAACUACUAGAGAGCAUCGGGGGCCAAGCAACGAGACCCCUCUGGUGAACUUUCAUUCUCACUUGACUACUUGGGAGCACUAGCACAAGAAGGGUGUAGUUACCGACCCUAAAGAUAUAGGCUUGAAAUGCAUUCUUUCGCUUCGAUAUAUGUCUUUAGAAGUAUUUCCCAUAAUGGGUGUUUCACAGCUGUUUUAGUGCAUUUAUUAUUAAGAACAUUAGACCUAUCCUUAUCAAUGUUAGCAAUUGCCUGGAAAGCAGGGUUCCACAGUAGCGGUCUUCAACUCGCGAACAAAGGACUUGGUUAUAAAGGAAGGAAUAGUUAUAAUCGAUCAUAACAUACUUCUUAUUGCUGACGCUCUUUUAGCUCGCUACCGUUUUAACUCGCUGCCGUUUAGCCCAGACUCCUACCGCGCCACAUGAGUAGUGGCUUGGUCAUUAGUAGUUGCUUGGCGAUCGGCUUGGUUAGUAGUUACUUGUCCAGUGUCUUGGCGAUGAGAAUGAAUCAGCUGGAUAAUUGCCCGGUGAAAAGAAAUUAGAAAUCACAAAUAAUCCAGAAAACAACUCAUCAUUUUCCAGUACUGACCACAGUAGACGUUAGGAAGGGAAAAUUUGAUGAUAAUUCUAUCUCUUCUU